ACUUCUAAAGAUGUCAAAAGCAUAUGAUGGCAUUUUUAUGCACAUUUCAGUAAAAAAAAUAGGUGGAAAUCGAUAUAGCACUUUUUGCACAUGCAAAUGCUUGAAUGUGGUAUGAGCAAAAAAAGAAACAAGAAAAGACACUUACAUCUCAUGCAAAAGCCUUUAAGGCUACUGAAAAUAAGAAACAUCAACAACUUUCUCAGGAAAUAUUUGUUGCAACAAUUUCAUAGAUAAGAAAAGUGCACUGGUUUGAAAAGUUCAAUUGGUUUAUAAGAAAUGAGAAUUAUUUGCUUAUUAGUGGAUGUGAUGCUCAACAAAAUGAAAUGAUAGUCAAACGUUACAUGUCAAAAGGAGAUUUGUAUGUCCAUGCAGAACUACAUGGAGCAUCUAGUACUGUGAUUAAAAAUCACAAACCUGAUAACCCUGUACCUCCUCUGACACUAAAUCAAGCAGGAUAUUUCAGAGUUUACCAUAGUCAAGCAUAAAACUCAAAGAUUUUUACUAGUUGGUAUACCAUCAUCAGGUCAGCAAUACAACUGCUAGUGGUGAAUAUCUUCCGGGAUUUGGCAUUGUAUUUUGGUUGGAUGAAACGUCACUGGGGUCUCAUAUGAAUGAAAGAAGAGUAAGGGAUGAAGAGGGCGGAAUCAAUGAUUCCGAAGAUAAUGAGCCUUUCAAAGAAUUAUUCGAUUCCGGUUCUGAGAACGAAUCACCCGAUUCAGAAUAUCACGUAAAUGUUUCCAAUUUAUCAACAAAUAACCAAAAAAUAAUGGAUUUAACCUCGGAAGUCGGUUCGCUUUGUGAAAUUACCACCUCUGGCAUCAAUAAUACCAAUUCCCAAGAAGUUUCUAUUCCAACUGUGUCUCCUGAACUUUUAGAUCUUCUUGAGAAAGCUCUUGAGCUUAAAUAUGGUGCCACAUCAGUGAAAAAAUACGGGCUUGAUGCUUUAGAAAUGAAAUCUAAAAAUAAUAAUGAAGAAGAGAAGGAACAGUGAGUGAAAAAGCGUAUGUUUCAAAAGUUGAAAGAAGAAAGCUGUUGAAAGGUCAAACACAUAGUGAAGGUGAAGAUGGUGGUCAAGUAAAAUAAAAAGUGAAAAAGAAAAAGGAAAUUAUAAAUCAUCCACAGAAAGAAAAAGAUGUUCAGAGUGUAAAUGUGUACUUUUUUUUUGAAAUAUGUAUUUCUUUUAUCUAUUGCAUAUUUCUUUUGGUUUCUAUAAAAAUACUUUGUUACUUUCAGUAUUAUAUUAUUUGUAUUUUUAUAGAUU